rnacentral:lncRNA from 10 species
GGAAAAGAAGGAAGGAAGGUUGGUUAACAGCAUGGUCAUGACAUAACUAGUUUUGCUAGAUUCCUUGCUUUUUAAAAAAUUUGUGCUUUUUGGUUUGUGAAUUUUGUGUUUUUGUUGUUUUUGUUUUUUUCUGUUUUGGCCUCAUGUUGUUUUGGGAUGUUUGUUUGAUUUUGACUGAAAUGUGGAGAGUGGACUUGAUUGAGGAGAAUUUUUCUGGAGCAAGAUCAAUUAUCAGCUUUAACAAAUAGAAGUGAGAGAUGGCAAACGCCUAAACCAAGACAUUAAAAUUAGAAAGAUGAAAAGGUGAAUACUUUCAAAAGGGGGUUACAAAAAACAAAAUGGCAAGAAAAAUACAAAAGGGACCCCACUGUGGUCGCUCUAAUCAAGAUCUUUCCUAGCGGCCACCAAAGAGGGCAACUAACCUUCCUUUCCUCAUUUGGAAGGAGUUGCUAAUACAAAUUCAAGUUAACGUUAAUGAGUAAGGGAAAUGUCCUUCCUCCUUAAACAUAUUUGAAAUAGAAGAGGGCAGGGGUCUUCAAUGUAGGAUAAAGAUCCAAGAUGGAGAGAGGUAGCCGAGG